GCAGGCGCGCAAGUGAGCACUCUCCCCUGAGUGCUUCCUCUUCAGCUCCCUUGCGCACCGCACUGAUACCGGAACCGGAUGAUGAUGUCAUCUUCUGGCGCCGGCAUCCCUACGCGGCGUGCGAGGGAGCUGAAGAGGAAGCUCUCAGGGGAGAGUGCUCCCUCGCGCGCCCGC